rnacentral:rRNA from 1 species
GAUGAACGCUGGCGGCGUGCCUAACACAUGCAAGUCGAGCGAGGGUUUGCUCAGUAUUGAGUAUUCUAAAACUAGAAUGUUCAAUUCUGAGCAAAACCAAGCGGCGGACGGGUGAGUAACGCGUGGGUAACCUGCCCUAUACACAUGGAUAACAUACUGAAAAGUUUACUAAUACAUGAUAAUAUAUAUUUGUGGCAUCGCAGAUAUAUCAAAGUGUUAGCGGUAUAGGAUGGACCCGCGUCUGAUUAGCUAGUUGGUGAGAUAACUGCCCACCAAGGCGACGAUCAGUAGCCGACCUGAGAGGGUGAUCGGCCACAUUGGAACUGAGACACGGUCCAAACUCCUACGGGAGGCAGCAGUGGGGAAUAUUGCACAAUGGGCGAAAGCCUGAUGCAGCAACGCCGCGUGAACGAUGAAGGUCUUCGGAUCGUAAAGUUCUGUUGCAGGGGAAGAUAAUGACGGUACCCUGGAGGAGC